AUGGACAAUGAAGUUAAUGCUCUAGAGCAUAUUCUGCUUGAUGAAAGCGCAAAGCCAAUGCAGCUUUCAUUUUCACUUUUACAAGACAUCACAAAUUGUUUCUCCGAUGAUCGGCAAAUUGGCAGGGGUGGAUUCGCUGUUGUUUACAAGGGGAUGGUCAGACAUGCCAUAGUUGCCGUGAAGAAGUUGACCUUCAACAUGGAAGAGAAGAAAUUCGACAAGGAGGUUGAAUGCUUGGUAAAGGCCAAGCACAAGAAUGUAGUACGCAUUCUGGGAUAUUGUGCCGAAACACAAAAAACAAUUGGAGACCAUGAGGGGAAGUUUGUCAUGGCAGACAUACGAAACUGGUUGCUCUGUUUUGAGUAUGUACCAAACGGGAGUCUUCAUAAGUACAUUACAGAUGCAUCUCAGGGACUUGAAUGGAGAAAGCGCUAUGAGAUAAUAAAGGGAAUAUGUGAGGGCUUGUGUUAUCUUCACGACAAGCGUAUUCUUCAUUUGGAUCUUAAGCCUGAUAACAUACUGAUGGACGAUCACAUGGUACCUAAAAUUACCGAUUUUGGUCUCUCGAGGUGCCUUGAUGAAGAUCAGACCCAGGUUACUACUACAAUCAUAUAUGGAUCAAUAGGAUAUUUGGCACCGGAAUUCUUCAAGGGAAAAUUCACAUUCAUGUCAGACAUAUUUAGUCUUGGCGUUACAAUUGUUGAGAUACUCACAGGAGAGAGGGGGUAUCCAGAAGACGAGAAUGUAACUGAAAGUUGGAUAAACCGGCUAGAGGGAGACACACAGUUGGAUCAAGUAAGAUUAUGCACCAAGAUAGGGAUAGAGUGCAUGAGGUUCGACCCAAAGAAAAGACCGUCCAUAAGUCAUAUAGUCGAUAGGCUUGAUAAAACAGAAAGUAUUGUUGAACCGGUCAUCAGUGGCUCAUCAUCUGAGCAGCAAGUAAGUUCCGAAAGACAUUGCCAAGAGAGAAUCAGAAAUACUUCUGCAGAUGAAAUACAAGAUGUUGCGCAAUGUCUUCAGACGCUUCAAAAUGACCAAUGCCAAGAGAAGGAAGACCAAAGGCCAGUAUGUGGAUCGCAUGAUAUGAAACAGGAUCGAAAAGAUGCAAGCAUUUCUAGCUAUGACUCUAGUGCGUUUCAAAAAUUGAGCAUUUUGGACAUCAUCAAUAGAAAAUCACACAGGAAUUUCGUGAGGAAUGGAGGGCCUACAAUACAACAGUCAAAGAGUGUAAAGAUCUUCCGAGAGGAGGAGCUCAAGACAAUAUUAAACAUUAGCAAUUUAGUUGGAAGAGGUGCAUAUGGUGAAGUUUACGGGGGUCUUCUUGGCAACAAACAAGUCAAAGUAAGGAAGCCGAUUGCUGGCAGUCUGCCAGACAGUGAAGAUUUUGCAAACGAAGUCAUCAAACGAUCUCAAGUCACCCACACGAACAUCCUUAAGCUCAUAGGUUGUUGCCUUGAAGUCGAUAUCCCAUUGCUAGUCUAUGAGUUUUUCUCCAAAGACAGCCUCUAUGACAUUCUUCACCGCAAUAAAAAGGUGCCUCUCAACUUGGGUGUGCGAUUACGCAUUGCCGCACAAGCAGCUGAUGGUGUAGCUUAUAUGAAUUCAGAAAUGAAUGGCAAAAUCCUAUUUUGUGGUAAUCUGGAAGCAUCAAAUGUACUCUUGGAUGAUAACUUUGUGCCAAAGAUCUCGGAUUUUGGCUUACCAUGGUCGGUGGUUGGGCGCGAUUAUUAUUCCCCUUAUUUUCGACCUCGACAACCUGCACCACCUUCACGACGACCUGCACCAUUGAUUCCAAGAAUCAUGGAUUAUUUCAUUGGCCGGCCUGCACCGUCCAACGGGGGAUAUUUCAUUGGCCGACCCGCAGAUUUUGGCAUAUCGGGUUCUGCGAGUGGCCAGCAACCAGGCGAUUAUUUCGUUGGCCGACCUGCAGAUCAAGAAUUCAUGGAAGACAACCAAUUGAUCCAACAAAGUGAUGUUUACAAUUUUGGGGUCAUCAUCUUGGAGCUUAUCAGUAGGAAGAAAGCCACCCAUGAUGAAACUAAUAGCUUAGUGAAGAAUUUCCUUAAAUCUCACGUACAAGGGGAGAAAGCAACAUCAUUGUUUGACAAGGAAAUUGCAGAAAGAAGAAACUUGGCCAUUCUUUACAGCCUAACAGAGAUCGCUGUGGAAUGUCUUAGCAUUGAUGUGGACUCAAGACCAAAGAUGACAGAGAUAGCAGAGCGCCUUCUCAGAUUAUCUCGUAAGUACAUGACUUACGGUGCAGCGUACUCUUCGGAUUCAAUCAGUUAUUCAAAAUAUGCGUAG
rnacentral:rRNA from 1 species